rnacentral:rRNA from 1 species
ACGUUCCCGGGUCUUGUACACACCGCCCGUCACACCACGAGAGUUUACAACACCCGAAGUCGGUGGGGUAACCCGCAAGGGGGCCAGCCGCCGAAGGUGGGGUAGAUGAUUGGGGUGAAGUCGUAACAAGGUAGCCGUAUCGGAAGGUGCGGCUGGAUCACCUCCUUUCUAUGGAGA